rnacentral:lncRNA from 1 species
UAAGAAAAACCACUAUUACGUAUUCCUGCGCCUGUCUCCUGAUCCCUAUACCAAUGUGACACAUAUAAAUUAAUAUUGGCCAACGUAGGUAGAGCAGUCACUAAGCAAUACUUACAAUUGACAUAGCUUUUAGUGUACUAGUAAUAGCUGUAAAACUAGCCAGUUUAGGUAAUAGGUGUGUGGGGAUUGAAGUGCAAGAUGAACUCCUCUCUUUAGGUAACAGGUGUGUGGGGAUUGAAGUGCAAGAUGAACUCCUCUCUUUAGGUAACAGGUGUGUGGGGGUUGAAGUGCAAGAGGAACUCCUCUCUUUAGGUAACAGGGUGUGUGGGGAUUGAAGUGCAAGAUGAACUCCUCUCUUUAGGUAACAGGUGUGUGGGGGUUUGAAGUGCAAGAGGAACUCCUCUCUUUAGGUAACAGGUGUGUGGGGAUUGAAGUGCAAGAGGAACUCCUCCUCUUAGGUAACAGGUGUGGGGGUUGAAGUGCAAGAUGAACUCUCUCUUUAGGUUAACAGGUGUGUGGGGGUUGAAGUGCAAGAGGAACUCCUCUCUUAGGUAACAGGUGUGUGGGGAUGUGAAGUGCAAGAUGAACUCCUCUCUUUAGGUAACAGGUGUGGGGGUUGAAGUGCAAGAGGAACUCCUCUCUUUAGGUAACAGGUGUGUGGGGGUUGAAGUGCAAGAGGAACUCCUCUCUUUAGUAACAGGUGUGUGGGGUUGAAGUGCAAGAGGAACUCCUUCUUUAGGUAACAGGUGUGUGGGGAUUGAAGUGCAAGAGGAACUCCUCUCUUUAGGUAACAGAGUGUGUGGGGGUUGAAGUGCAAGAGGAACUCCUUUCUUUAGGUAACAGGUGUGUGGGGGUUGAAGAGCAAGAGGAACUCCUCUCUUUAGGUAACAGGUGUGUGGGGGUUGAAGAGCAAGAGGAACUCCUCUCUUUAGGUAACAGGUGUCUGGGGAUUGAAGUGCGAGCGGAACUCCUCUCUUUAGGUAACAGGUGUGUGGGGGUUGAAGAGCAAGAUGAACUCCUCUCUUUAGGUAACAGGUGUGUGGGGAUUGAAGUGCAAGGGAACUCCUCUCUUUAGUAACAGGUGUCUGGGGGUUGAAGUGCAAGUGAACUCCUCUCUUUAGGUAACAGGUGUGUGGGGU